rnacentral:rRNA from 1 species
UAAUACUUAGGAAUCUGCCCAGUAGUGGGGGACAACUCGAGGAAACUCGAGCUAAUACCGCAUACGCCCUACGGGGGAAAGCGGGGGAUCUUCGGACCUCGCGCUAUUGGAUGAGCCUAAGUCGGAUUAGCUUGUAGGUAGGGUAACGGCCUACCUAGGCGACGAUCCGUAGCUGGUCUGAGAGGACGAUCAGCCACACUGGAACUGAGACACGGUCCAGACUCCUACGGGAGGCAGCAGUGGGGAAUAUUGGACAAUGGGCGCAAGCCUGAUCCAGCAAUGCCGCGUGUGUGAAGAAGGCCUGCGGGUUGUAAAGCACUUUCAGUGGAGAAGAAAAGCUUACGGUUAAUACCCGUGAGUCUUGACGUAACCCACAGAAGAAGCACCGGCUAACUCCGUGCCAGCAGCCGCGGUAAUACGGAGGGUGCGAGCGUUAAUCGGAAUUACUGGGCGUAAAGCGCGCGUAGGCGGUUUGGUCAGUCGAAUGUGAAAGCCCAGGGCUUAACCUUGGAAUUGCGUUCGAUACUGCCUGACUAGAGUAUGGUAGAGGGAAGUGGAAUUUCCGGUGUAGCGGUGAAAUGCGUAGAUAUCGGAAGGAACACCAGUGGCGAAGGCGACUUCCUGGGCCAAUACUGACGCUGAGGUGCGAAAGCGUGG